GUGAAUAGUAAACUUGAAAAUGAUAGCAGAUAGCAAAUACAUGUUUAAAUAGACAUAGUAUAUACAUGUAUGUUCAAAGUAUACAGAACUAGAGGCUUUUUAGGCUCUAAAGAGCCUGUGUCGCUCACCUUGGUCUAUGUGAAUAUUAAGCAAUGGACACAGAUGGAUUCAUGACAAAAUUGUGUUUUGGUGAUGGUGAUGUGUUUGUAGAUCUUACUUUACUAAACAUUCUUGCUGCUUACAAUUAUCUCUAUCUAUAACAGUACUUUCUGUGGAAAAUGUUAUUAAAAAUCUUCAAAUUUUAAGAAAAUUGUUAAAAAUUGACUAUGAGGCCAAAAUAAAAAGAUUGUAUGUUUGCCCAAACGCGACCGACCCAAAAUAAAACCCCCCGACUCAAAUUCUUUUUUGACGUUUUUUGGAAGAAAUUUUUUUUUCGGAUUUUUUUGGGGUCCGCUCCGUCAUCGUACAAAACUUAAUGUUUGUCGUCUUUGCGUUUGAAAGUAACUGUGAAUAAGAUUAAAAGAAAGCGUAUAAGAGACGCAGUUAAUCGAUAUUCGAUGUUCUCUGUUUUUAUCUUCUGAUUUAACGAACGUAAAGAAGUAAAACAUGUGAAGUGGCACAGUUUUUUUUACGCUGUAGUUGUCUGUACUACCAAACCCUUACCUAUAUGCUCAAUGUUAAUUUCAUCGUGUUAUCGAAUAUCUGAUUAGAAUAUUCAGGUAGAUUUGUUCAAAACCAUGUGCAAUCGAAUAUUUUCAAUGUUAUUCUGACAGGAAAUGGAUCCGUAAG
rnacentral:lncRNA from 1 species